CUUAUCAGUUCCCCACACUCCCGGGGAAACGGGGCAGCUGCGGUCCCAGGGCAGGGGGCGCGCUGGGGUCUGGGGCUGGAUGCUUCCUGCCGGCUGGCAACCAGGGCCCCAUCGUGUGGGAGUCCUGGGCACAGGCGGGCACGUGACACCUCCCCCUGGGGGCACAUCAGGAGGGCAAGACGCCAGCUCUGGGGAAUCCCGGCAGGAGGGCUUGAGGAGGCCGGGAGGGGCAGCCCUGGCCCAGGCCGAGGGCUGGGACACAGACACCCCCCGGCCACCUGGCGACGAGGGCUGCUUCACUCCAGUGCUCCCUGUCUUGACUGCUCACCUAUUACGUGGUGGAAAUCUGCCUGUGGAAUCAGUAAUUCUGUUUUGAGGAUCAAACAAGGUGUGCACAUCAUUUCUGUAGAAACGCAACACUAUCGCACAUCUAACAGGGCCAAGGGUCGCGUGGACACAGCUGUCUUGGGCACUGGGAAACCGAGAUCUCCGUGUGCCUUGCUUUAUUGCAAUAUUCGCCACACCCCGGUGGUCUGGAAACCAAGCCACGUUGUCUGUCCUGGCCUUUUGGACUAUGAAGACUCCCUUUUCAAAAACAAGCAAAAGACACCCGUUGGCCCUCCACUUGCUGGGAACUUGGCUUCUGACAUCUUCGUGUUGAGAAAUACGAGGGCCUCUGCGGCUUCUCCCAAGAUGCUCGUCUCCCCCAGGCUCGCCCGACGUUUCUGCAGGUCCGUGUCCCUCCGCACGUGCUGGCUUAGUCCCUCAGUUGUGUCCGACUCUGCAACCCCCUGGAUUGUAGCCCACUGGGCUCCUCUGUCCAGGGGAUUCUCCAGCCAAGACUACUGGAGGGGGUUGCCAUGCCCUCCUCUGCAGCCAGAGGGUCUCUCAAACCUGUCGAGCUGGUGCUGGUGGCUCCACUGAAGUGCCCAGAGCUUUCCUUGGUCCCUGGGGUCGAGUCUGAGCUCUGUGCCCAGCUGAGCGGGCCCCAGGAUCUGAAACCGACUGUCUGUCUCUCCGGCCUCCCAUGCCCUCUCCUGUCUCUGCUCCAGUCACCCUGACCUUUAUUUACAGACAAACUGCUCUGCACAGGUGAGCACACGGUGUCCGGAUCCUACCCCCUGGGUGCCUCCUG
ensembl:lncRNA